ensembl:miRNA
GCUGAACCCCUGCUCCUGGAGCCCCCAGCAGGGCCCUCUGAGGUGGAGCAGCAGC